rnacentral:tRNA from 1 species
GCCGAUGUAGCUCAAUGGUAGAGCAAUGGUUUUGUAAACCAUCGGUUGGGGGUUCGAUUCCCUUCAUCGGCUCCA